AGGAUGAACGCUAGCUACAGGCUUAACACAUGCAAGUCGAGGGGCAGCAUGAUCGAAGCUUGCUUUGAUUGAUGGCGACCGGCGCACGGGUGAGUAACGCGUAUCCAACCUUCCCUAUAGUAGAGGAUAGCCCGGCGAAAGUCGGAUUAAUACUCUAUGUUUUCCGAAGCAGACAUCUAAUUUGGAACAAAGGUUCACCGCUAUAGGAUGGGGAUGCGUCUGAUUAGGUUGUUGGCGGGGUAACGGCCCACCAAGCCUACGAUCAGUAGGGGUUCUGAGAGGAAGGUCCCCCACAUUGGAACUGAGACACGGUCCAAACUCCUACGGGAGGCAGCAGUGAGGAAUAUUGGUCAAUGGGCGAGAGCCUGAACCAGCCAAAGUAGCGUGCAGGAUGACGGCCCUAUGGGUUGUAAACUGCUUUUAUACGGGGAUAAAGUGAGGGACGUGUCCCUUUUUGUAGGUACCGUAUGAAUAAGGACCGGCUAAUUCCGUGCCAGCCGCCGC
rnacentral:rRNA from 1 species